AUGCUUACCUGGCCGGGGAGAUACCAUGAUCAUGAAGGUGGUUUUCCCAGGACGAGGCUGGUCCAUUGCACUCCAGAUGUGCUGACCCCUGCGACCUCCCCAACUGCAGAAACCUCCACUGCGUAAUUUGGGAUAGUGGGGGAGGAAAAAAAAAAAUGAUUGUCAGGUGUCAGAACACAGACCCUCC
rnacentral:snRNA from 1 species